GGGAACGCGGAAGAACCUUACCUACCCUUGACAUCCAGAGAAUUUGUUAGAGAUAGUAGAGUGCCUUCGGGAGCUCUGAGACAGGUGCUGCAUGGCUGUCGUCAGCUCGUGUCGUGAGAUGUUGGGUUAAGUCCCGUAACGAGCGCAACCCUUAUCCUUAGUUGCCAGCGGUUCGGCUGGGGAAUCUAGGGAGAAGGCCGGUGAUAAACCGGAGGAAGGUGGGGAGGACGUCAAGUUAUCAUGGCCCUUAUGGGUAGGGGACCCAAACUGCUACAAGGGUGGGUACAGAGGGCAGCAAAACCGCGAGGUCAAGCAAAUCCCAGAAAGCCGAUCCUAGUCCGGAUUGCAGUCUGCAACUCGACUGCAUGAAGUCGGAAUCGCUAGUAAUCGCGAAUAACAA
rnacentral:rRNA from 1 species